CCCUUAGAUGUUCUGGGCCGCACGCGCGCUACACUGAUACGUUCAACGAGUCCAAAACCUUGAUUGAUAGGUCUGGGUAAUCUUUUGAAGACGUAUCGUGCUAGGGAUAGAUUAUUGCAAUUAUUAAUCUUGAACGAGGAAUUCCUAGUAAACGCAGAUCAUCAAUCUGCAUUGAUUACGUCCCUGCCCUUUGUACACACCGCCCGUCGCACCUACCGAUUGGAUGGUCCGGUGAAGCCUCGGGAUUGUGGUUCUUGCCGCUUUAUUGUGGCGUGACCGCGAGAACUUGUCUAAACCUUAUCAUCUAGAGGAAGGUGAAGUCGUAACA
rnacentral:rRNA from 1 species